CCAAGUGUUGGAUUGUUCACCC
rnacentral:siRNA from 1 species